rnacentral:tRNA from 1 species
GUUGAUGUAGCUUAACAUAAAGCAAAGCACUGAAAAUGCUUAGAUGGAUACUCUAAAUCCCAUAAACA